GGAGACAUAGCUCAGCUGGGAGAGCGAGCGACUGAAGUUCAGUCAUCAGCCGGGCGUGGAUCGAAGGGUUCAUUUCGGGUGUCAUCGCUAGGUCGGGUGUUCAAUCCACUCUGGCUCCA